GGCUGGCCCGAGUGCAGUGGUGUUUACAACUAAUUGAUCACAACCAGUUACAGAUUCCUUUGUUCCUUCUCCACUUCCACUGUCCUUUGAUUAGCCUAAA
rnacentral:Y_RNA from 1 species